rnacentral:rRNA from 1 species
UACGUAGGGGCCUAGCGUUGUCCGGAUUUAUUGGGCGUAAAGAGCUCGUAGGCGGUUCGGUAAGUCAGGUGUGAAAUCUCCACGCUCAACGUGGAGGCGCCACCUGAAACUGCCGUGACUCGAGUCCGGUAGGGGAGUGUGGAAUUCCCGGUGUAGCGGUGAAAUGCGCAGAUAUCGGGAGGAACACCUGUGGCGAAAGCGGCGCACUGGACCACAACUGACGCUGAGGCGCGAAAGCUAGGGGAGCAAACAGG